rnacentral:misc_RNA from 1 species
UGUUGAAAUUUUAUAAUUUUUCACGUGGAAUACAAAACCAAAUCCUCAUUCAUUUUUAAUGCACACCUAUCCAAAUGUAGCCUGUGAUGAUUUUUACAUUUUUUCUGUACGUAUUACAUAUCAUAAACACUUAUCCUGUAUUCAUUAUUUAAGUGAAGAACAUAUAACACAAGUAAGCUCUUUUAGCUUUCCAUUUUCUAAGACACAUUCUAAAGUCUCUAAAGAUUUCAACUGCAUACACAUACAAAUUGGUUAUGCUGCCUUCAAUU